UACGGAGGGUGCAAGCGUUGUCCGGAUUUAUUGGGUUUAAAGGGUGCGUAGGCGGCGCGUUAAGUCUGGGGUGAAAGCCCGUUGCUCAACAACGGAACUGCCCUGGAAACUGGCGCGCUUGAGUACAGACGAGGGUGGCGGAAUGGAUGCUGUAGCGGUGAAAUGCAUAGAUAGCAUCCAGAACCCCGAUUGCGAAGCAGCUGCCUAGACUGUAACUGACGCUGAGGCACGAAAGCGUGGGGAGCGAACAGG
rnacentral:rRNA from 1 species